GACAGCAGCUGCACAGCUCCAGACAAUCGUUGUCAAGGACGGGAAUGAGAUUCUAACAUGGCUGAUCUGAUUUUUCAAGAAAGAAAUGACUUCUGGCAACUGACAGGCUCCACGUUGAGUGUUCACACUGUGCCCAAUUCUGCCCUGAGCACUUUGCUUGGUUUCUCCACAACAAUAUUGUGAUCAGUAUAAUUACUGUUAUUCCCAUUUUAUAGAUGAGAAAAAUAGUAAUGGAGGAAAUGGAAGGAAAAAGGAUGGCCAUAAGUUGGAGGCAGGUGAAAGACCCAAAUUCAUGGAAGAGAAGUGAGUCACACAGGGAGCCAGUGGCAGAGCCACACCCCACAGAGCAAUCAACAUGCUCUACUCUGCAGACCUGCAACAGGGAGGGAAGCCAGACUCUGAUGCAAGAAGGAAAGACCAUGUGCUGGCUCAGUGUGUGCAGCCUGGACUGAGCUACUGAACUCUAAAUCCAAGGAUGACUAAUGUAAGCCUAAAGGGUAAUCUGCAAAUACUGCUCCAUUAAUAUUCAAUGAUAAAUGAUAUUGCUUUAGAAUCAAAUUCACAUAAACAGAAGCUUCAGCUGUAUGUCCGCACCCUGGGAACAUUAAAUUGUAAGCCACGUCUUGUA
rnacentral:lncRNA from 1 species